CCAAGGCUCAACCUGGGAUUGCUUUGGAAACUGCAUGACUUGAGUGCUGGAGAGGCAAGGGGAAUUCCACGUGUAGCGGUGAAAUGCGUAGAUAUGUGGAGGAAUACCAGUGGCGAAGGCGCCUUGCUGGACAGUGACUGACGCUGAGGCACGAAAGCGUGGGGAGCAAACAGGAUUAGAUACCCUGGUAGUCCACGCCGUAAACGAUGAGUGCUAGGUGUUGGGGGGACACACCCCAGUGCCGAAGGAAACCCAAUAAGCACUCCGCCUGGGGAGUACGGUCGCAAGACUGAAACUCAAAGGAAUUGACGGGGGCCCGCACAAGCAGUGGAGCAUGUGGUUUAAUUCGAAGCAACGCGAAGAACCUUACCAGGGCUUGACAUCCCUCUGACCGGUGCAGAGAUGUACCUUCCCUUCGGGGCAGAGGAGACAGGUGGUGCAUGGUUGUCGUCAGCUCGUGUCGUGAGAUGUUGGGUUAAGUCCCGCAACGAGCGCAACCCUUGAUCUGUGUUACCAGCACGUAGAGGUGGGGACUCACAGGUGACUGCCGGCGUAAGUCGGAGGAAGGCGGGGAUGACGUCAAAUCAUCAUGCCCUUUAUGUCCUGGGCUACACACGUGCUACAAUGGGCGGUACAACGGGAAGCGAAGCCGCGAGGUGGAGCAAAACCUAAAAAGCCGUUCGUAGUUCGGAUUGCAGGCUGCAACUCGCCUGCAUGAAGCCGGAAUUGCUAGUAAUCGCGGAUCAGCAUGCCGCGGUGAAUCCGUUCCCGGGCCUUGUACACACCGCCCGUCACACCACGAGAGUCGGCAACACCCGAAGUCGGUGAGGUAACCGUUAUGGAGCCAGCCGCCGAA
rnacentral:rRNA from 1 species